UGGAAACAGAUGCUAAUACCGCAKAGAUCCAAGAACCGCAKGGUUCUWGGCUGAAAGAUGGCGUAWGCUAUCRCUUUUGGAUGGACCCGCGGCGUAWUAGCUAGUUGGUGAGGUAACGGCUCACCAAGGCRAUGAUACGUAGCCUAACUGAGAGGUUGAUCGGMCACAUUGGGACUGAGACACGGCCCAAACUCCUACGGGAGGCAGCAGUAGGGAAUCUUCCACAAUGGACGCAAGUCUGAUGGAGCAACGCCGCGUGAGUGAAGAAGGCUUUCGGGUYGUAAAACUCUGUUGUUGGAGAAGAAUGGUCGGCAGAGUAACUGUUGUCGGCGUGACGGUAUCCAACCAGAAAGCCACGGCUAACUACGUGCCAGCAGCCGCGGUAAUACGUAGGUGGCAAGCGUUAUCCGGAUUUAUUGGGCGUAAAGCGAGCGCAGGCGGUUUUUUAAGUCUGAUGUGAAAGCCCUCGGCUUAACCGAGGAAGCGCAUCGGAAACUGGGAAACUUGAGUGCAGAAGAGGACAGUGGAACUCCAUGUGUAGCGGUGAAAUGCGUAGAURUAUGGAAGAACACCAGUGGCGAAGGCGGCUGUCUGGUCUGUAACUGACGCUGAGGCUCGAAAGCAUGGGUAGCGAACAGGAUUAGAUACCCUGGUAGUCCAUGCCGUAAACGAUGAAUGCUAGGUGUUGGAGGGUUUCCGCCCUUCAGUGCCGCAGCUAACGCAUUAAGCAUUCCGCCUGGAGAGUACGACCGCAAGGUUGAAACUCAGAGGAAUUGACGGGCGCCCGCACAAGCGGUGGAGCAUGUGGUUUAAUUCGAAGCAACGCGAAGAACCUUACCAGGUCUUGACAUCUUUUGAUCACCUGAGAGAUCAGGUUUCCCCU
rnacentral:rRNA from 1 species